GUAUAUGGCUAUACUACCCUGAACAUUCCUGAACUCAUCUGAUCUCUGAAGCUAAGCAGGGUCAGGCCUGGUUAGUACUUGGAUGGGAGACCACCUCCUUGUCUCAGUACAGCAUGAG